rnacentral:rRNA from 1 species
UAAGACGAACCGUGCGAACGUUGUUCGGAAUCACUGGGCUUAAAGGGCGCGUAGGCGGCCCGCCAAGUCAGGGGUGAAAGCCCCCAGCUCAACUGGGGAAGUGCCUUUGAUACUGGCGGGCUCGAGGGGAGUAGGGGCGGACGGAACUUCCGGUGGAGCGGUGAAAUGCGUUGAUAUCGGAAGGAACGCCGGUGGCGAAAGCGGUCCGCUGGGCUCUUACUGACGCUGAGGCGCGAAAGCCAGGGGAGCAAACGGGAUUAGAUACCCCGGUAGUCCUGGCCCUAAACGAUGGGUACUAGGCUGUGGGCUUGACAUGGGCUCACAGCCGAAGCGAAAGUGCUAAGUACCCCGCCUGGGGAGUAUGGUCGCAAGGCUG